UCUUCCCCUAGAGGCUUUGCAAGUGAGGUUUCAGUGUCACAUGUACUUUAGUAGGUAGCAGAGAGGAGAGAGACCAUGCCUAUGUUCAGUGCUCUGACCUGUGAACAUCUGAAUGGUUAGUAGUCUAACAUU